rnacentral:rRNA from 1 species
UACGUAGGUCCCGAGCGUUGUCCGGAUUUAUUGGGCGUAAAGCGAGCGCAGGCGGUUAGAUAAGUCUGAAGUUAAAGGCUGUGGCUUAACCAUAGUACGCUUUGGAAACUGUUUAACUUGAGUGCAAGAGGGGAGAGUGGAAUUCCAUGUGUAGCGGUGAAAUGCGUAGAUAUAUGGAGGAACCCCGGUGGCGAAAGCGGCUCUCUGGCUUGUAACUGACGCUGAGGCUCGAAAGCGUGGGGAGCAAACAGGAUUAGAUACCCUGGUAGUC